CCUACGGGAGGCAGCAGUGAGGAAUAUUGGUCAAUGGACGAGAGUCUGAACCAGCCAAGUAGCGUGAAGGAUGACUGCCCUAUGGGUUGUAAACUUCUUUUAUAUGGGAAUAAAAUGUUCCACGUGUGGGAUUUUGUAUGUACCAUAUGAAUAAGGAACGGCUAACUCCGUGCCAGCAGCCGCGGUAAUACCGAGGAUCCGAGCGUUAUCCGGAUUUAUUGGGUUUAAAGGGAGCGUAGGUGGAUUGUUAAGUCAGUUGUGAAAGUUUGCGGCUCAACCGUAAAAUUGCAGUUGAAACUGGCAGUCUUGAGUACAGUAGAGGUGGGCGGAAUUCGUGGUGUAGCGGUGAAAUGCUUAGAUAUCACGAAGAACUCCGAUUGCGAAGGCAGUUCACUGGACUGCAACUGACACUGAGGCUCGAAAGUGUGGGUAUCAAACAGGAUUAGAUACCCUUGUAGUC
rnacentral:rRNA from 1 species